AAAGGAAUUGACGGGGACCCGCACAAGCGGUGGAGCGUGUUCUUUAAUUCGAUGCUAAACGAAGAACCUUACCAGGGCUUGACAUCCCUUGAAUUUCUGCGAAAGCAGAAAGUGCUUUAUUGAACAAGGUGACAGGUGCUGCAUGGCCGUCGUCAGCUCGUGUCGUGAGAUGUUUGGUUAAGUCCAUCAACGAGCGCAACCCUUGUGAUUAGUUGAAUUUUUCUAAUCAUACUGCCCCGGCAACGGGGAGGAAGGAGGGGAUGAUGUCAGGUCAGUAUUGCCCUUACGUCCUGGGCUAGAAACGCGCUACAAUGGCUGGUACAACGCGAAGCCAACCCGCAAGGGGGAGCAAAUCGCAUCAAAGCCAGUCCCAGUUCGGAUUGCAGGCUGAAACUCGCCUGCAUGAAGUCGGAAUCGCUAGUAAUCGCAGAUCAGCAAGCUGCGGUGAAUACGUUCCCGGGUCUUGUACACACCGCCCGU
rnacentral:rRNA from 1 species